AACGAACGCUGGCGGCAGGCCUAAUACAUGCAAGUCGAGCGCACCUUCGGGUGAGCGGCGGACGGGUGAGUAACGCGUGGGAAUAUGCCCUUCACUACGGAAUAGCCCAGGGAAACUUGGAUUAAUACCGUAUACGCCCUUCGGGGGAAAGAUUUAUCGGUGAAGGAUUAGCCCGCGUUGGAUUAGGUAGUUGGUGGGGUAAUGGCCUACCAAGCCUACGAUCCAUAGCUGGUUUGAGAGGAUGAUCAGCCACACUGGAACUGAGACACGGUCCAGACUCCUACGGGAGGCAGCAGUAGGGAAUCUUAGACAAUGGGGGAAACCCUGAUCUAGCCAUGCCGCGUGUGUGACGAAGGCCCUAGGGUCGUAAAGCACUUUCGCCAGGGAAGAUAAUGACGGUACCUGGUAAAGAAGUCCCGGCUAACUCCGUGCCAGCCGCCGCCGUAACAC
rnacentral:rRNA from 1 species